rnacentral:rRNA from 1 species
UACAUAUGGGGCGAGCGUUAUCCGGAAUUAUUGGGUGUAAAGGGUGCGUAGACGGGAAGCUAAGUUAGUAGUGAAAUCCCCAGGCUUAACUUGGGAAUUGCUACUAAGACUGACUUUCUUGAGUACUGGAGAGGAAAGUGGAAUUCCUAGUGUAGCGGUGAAAUGCGUAGAUAUUAGGAGGAACACCAGUGGCGAAGGCGACUUUCUUGACAGAAACUGACGUUGAGGCACGAAAGUGCGGGGAGCAAAC